rnacentral:rRNA from 1 species
CCACCACUAAGCCAGUGGUGAACUCCACAUACGCAUCCUUUGCUGAGGAUACGGUUAACGGAGCGAAAGCGACGUUCAACCGCAAAAGAAGCAGAGGGGGCUUAGUGGUGGGGUGACUGCGUACCUUUUGUAUAAUGGGUCAGCGACUUAUAUUCUGUAGCAAGGUUAACCGAAUAGGGGAGCCGCAGGGAAACCGAGUCUUAAUUGGGCGUUAAGUUGCAGGGUAUAGACCCGAAACCCGGUGAUCUAGCCAUGGGCAGGUUGAAGGUUGGGUAACACUAACUGGAGGACCGAACCGACUAAUGUUGAAAAAUUAGCGGAUGACCUGUGGCUGGGGGUGAAAGGCCAAUCAAACCGGGAGAUAGCUGGUUCUCCCCGAAAGCUAUUUAGGUAGCGCCUCGUGAAUUCAUCUCCGGGGGUAGAGCACUGUUUCGGCUAGGGGGCCAUCCCGGCUUACCAACCCGAUGCAAACUGCGAAUACCGGAGAAUGUUAUCACGGGAGACACACGGCGGGUGCUAACGUCCGUCGUGAAGAGGGAAACAACCCAGACCGCCAGCUAAGGUCCCAAAGUCAUGGUUAAGUGGGAAACGAUGUGGGAAGGCCCAGACAGCCAGGAUGUUGGCUUAGAAGCAGCCAUCAUUUAAAGAAAGCGUAAUAGCUCACUGGUCGAGUCGGCCUGCGCGGAAGAUGUAACGGGGCUAAACCAUG